UAGGGAAUCUUCCACAAUGGGCGAAAGCCUGAUGGAGCAACGCCGCGUGUGUGAUGAAGGGUUUCGGCUCGUAAAACACUGUUGUAAGAGAAGAAUGGCAUUGAGAGUAACUGUUCAAUGUGUGACGGUAUCUUACCAGAAAGGAACGGCUAAAUACGUGCCAG
rnacentral:rRNA from 1 species